AUUGAACGCUGGCGGCAGGCCUAACACAUGCAAGUCGAGCGGAUGAAGGGAGCCUGCUCCUGGAUUCAGCGGCGGACGGGUGAGUAAUGCCUAGGAAUCUGCCUGGUAGUGGGGGAUAACGUCCGGAAACGGGCGCUAAUACCGCAUACGUCCUGAGGGAGAAAGUGGGGGAUCUUCGGACCUCACGCUAUCAGAUGAGCCUAGGUCGGAUUAGCUAGUUGGUGGGGUAAAGGCCUACCGAGGCGACGAUCCGUAACUGGUCUGAGAGGAUGAUCAGUCACACUGGAACUGAGACACGGUCCAGACUCCUACGGGAGGCAGCAGUGGGGAAUAUUGGACAAUGGGCGAAAGCCUGAUCCAGCCAUGCCGCGUGUGUGAAGAAGGUCUUCGGAUUGUAAAGCACUUUAAGUUGGGAGGAAGGGCAGUAAGUUAAUACCUUGCUGUUUUGACGUUACCAACAGAAUAAGCACCGGCUAACUUCGUG
rnacentral:rRNA from 1 species